rnacentral:lncRNA from 13 species
CGACGGGAUGCAGGUCACAACCCCUGGAAAUGGAAUCGCAGCUUGGAUUUGUCCAGGAGUGGGAGCGCAGGGAUGCGGGGACGGCCAAGCUGUCACCCUGGGCUGGCACCGCCUGGCAUUCCUGCCGCUCCCGGUGCCACUGGGGCAUGGAUAGGGCGGCUCCUGCCGGGAUCAGGCCUGGGAAGGGCAACCCCUUGGAAUCCUUGGCUGAGGGAAUUCUGUGAGAUCAUUCCCGGUUUCCAGGGUGUGACCAGGAGUUCCUAACCCCUGGCUUGUGCUUCCCUUGCCCCGCAGCAGAUUCCGGCCGAUCUCCGGCCUUUCCCCUUCGCUGUCCCGGGUUUUUCCAAGCGCUCCGGAGGGAAUUUGGUGUGGGAAUUUCACUCGAGAGCUCUCGGAGAGCACAAAUCGAUGGGAUCAGGAGCAGAAAUCUCCGUCCCUGCCAUCUCUAUUUUCCCUUCCUUCAUUCCCCACCCCGGGCACAGACAGAGCCUGGAAACUCUGCCAGGAAUCCGCUGCAUCCCAGGAAAUCCCAUCCCCUGCAAUCCCAGGAUUUGGGCAGCGAGGAGCUGCCAGCGAGGCCUGUGGAACGUUCUGGGCACACCUGGAGACGGGAAUCCACAUUUGGGAUAAAUUUAACCCCCUAAGAGGGGAGUGAAACCCAUGGGAGGAGCGGAGUUCUCCAUCCCUGCCUCGCCAAAUCCUUGGGGAAGCGAGGAGGGAGGGAUGGGCUGGGUUAGGCGAGGCUUUUCCCCCUUUGAUCCGCGCUCUGCUGAGCGGAACACAAAGCCCGGGCGGCUCCGAGCGGAGGCAGCGAGCGAGACGGACAGAGUGACACGGGCAGAAUGAGCUGUCACCUCCCAUUUGUCACCGCGCGGGGACACGAAUCGCGCCUUGGAGCCGCUUCCCGAUGGAGCCCCGCGGCUUCCAAACCCCUGGAAUGUUGGAGUUCCUUCCAGGCUGGCGGAUCCCGGGUUUAUCAAUCCUGGAGGCGCGGGAAAUUCGCCCCCUCGGAGCUGAUUUUCCCUUCUCCUCCCCUCCCUGCUCCUGCUGCUCGCCACGGCAGGGACGCUUUUUUUCCCGGGAUUCGGGAAAUCCUGACAUCCUGACAUCCUGAAUGCUGAAAUCGUGGUGCCAGGGGCGUGGGGAUAUCAGCGAUCCCGGUUGCAGAUGACACCGAGGGACGGGAUUGAUCCCUGGGCUGGGUGAAAAACGUGGAUAAAAACGCCGGGAAAAGCGGAAUUUCAUCAGCGCCUCCCUCAUCCCGCUUCCAGCCGGGAUUAAAUUAAGUUUUUAACCCUCCAGGCUCUCCUGUCGGGUGUUGUUAAGGAAUUAAUGGGAAGGCUGGGAUGCAGAUGGGCCGCCUGUCAAUUCCAGGGCGGGAUUUUCCUGAUCCUCGCCGACGUUUCCAGCAUUUUUCAUUAAAUGCUCGUGUUCCAAUUUGUCACCGGCGCCGGGCAGGGGGAGGAAAACUCCCGGUGAACUCAGCUCGGGGAUUGGGAUUGAAUCCAGCAGGAGAAAUCCUAAAGGACAGCCCUGCUGAGGUGGGGAGGGGGAUUUUGGGAUGCUCCGGAGCUCGUUGGGAUCAGCAUUAAAAGGGAUUUAGCAACAGGAAUGGGAGCAGCCUCCAGAUCUGUCGGGAUUCCAGAGA